CUGGGCCUCUGUGGGCAUCUUACCGGACAGUGCUGGAUUUCUCGGCUCGACUCUAACACUGUCUGGUAACGAUGUUCAAAGGUGACCCAC
ensembl:miRNA MIR200A microRNA 200a